rnacentral:rRNA from 1 species
AUUGAACGCUAGCGGGAUGCUUUACACAUGCAAGUCGAACGGCAGCGCGGACUUCGGUCUGGCGGCGAGUGGCGAACGGGUGAGUAAUGUAUCGGAACGUGCCCAGUAGCGGGGGAUAACUACGCGAAAGCGUAGCUAAUACCGCAUACGCCCUACGGGGGAAAGCAGGGGAUCGUAAGACCUUGCACUAUUGGAGCGGCCGAUAUCGGAUUAGCUAGUUGGUGAGGUAACGGCUCACCAAGGCGACGAUCCGUAGCUGGUUUGAGAGGACGACCAGCCACACUGGGACUGAGACACGGCCCAGACUCCUACGGGAGGCAGCAGUGGGGAAUUUUGGACAAUGGGGGCAACCUUGAUCCAGCCAUCCCGCGUGUGAGAUGAAGGCCUUCGGGUUGUAAAGCACUUUUGGCAGGAAAGAAACGUCGCGGGCUAAUACCCCGUGGAACUGACGGUACCUGCAGAAUAAGCACCGGCUAACUACGUG